CCUACGGGCGGCAGCAGUGGGGAAUUUUGCGCAAUGCUCGUAAGAGUGACGCAGCGACGCCGCGUGAAUGACGAAGGCCUUCGGUUCGUAAAGUUCUUUCGACAGGGAAGAAAAUGCCUAUAAGUAACUGUGUAUGUAUUGACGGUACCUGUAUAAGCAGCCCCGGCUAACUCCGUGCCAGCCGCCGCUGUAAUACGGAGGGGGCGAGCGUUGUUCGGAGUGACUGGGCGUAAAGAGCACGUAGGCGGUGUUGUAAGUCAUUAGUCAAAGAGUAGAGCUCAAAUUUAGUACGGCUAGUGAUACUAUAAUACUAGAGUAUCAGAGAGGAUUGCAGAAUUCCUGGUGUAGCGGUGAAAUGCGUAGAUAUCAGGAGGAAUACCGUUAGCGAAGGCGGCAAUCUGGCUGGAAACUGACGCUGAGGUGCGAAAGCGUGGGGAGCAAACAGGAUUAGAUACCCUAGUAGUC
rnacentral:rRNA from 1 species